GUUGGUGAGACUUGAGUAGAAUAAUAAUUCAAAGAGUCAAAGGUCUCGUUGAACAAACUUUUACUCUGUCACCCGGGUGAAAAUAGGACACAGCCAGUAGUGGGUCUGAAGGGUUUCGGCCCGAAUCGUCGCCUAUUUCCUU